AAAGUCGUAACAAGGUUUCCGUAGGUGAACCUGCGGAAGGAUCAUUAACAAAUUCAAAACUCGUGUUGUGUUGUAUCUUUUUCGUGGAUGAUGUGACGGUCUCUUGAUGGUGGUGGUAAAACACCUCAUCGAGUGGGCAAUAAAGUUACAUUCGGAAAUAAAAAGGAUAUACCACGAUUAAACAAACACAUACACUUACAUUAAAUAUUGACAACAAAGGGAAACCACGAUUAAUCGUAAACAACUUUUAACAAUGGAUCUCUUGGCUCUU
rnacentral:misc_RNA from 1 species